rnacentral:rRNA from 1 species
GACGAACGCUGGCGGCGUGCUUAACACAUGCAAGUCGAACGGAAAGGCCCUGCUUUUGUGGGGUGCUCGAGUGGCGAACGGGUGAGUAAGACGUGAGUAACCUGCCCUUGACUUUGGGAUAACUUCAGGAAACUGGGGCUAAUACCGGAUAGGAGCUCCUGCUGCAUGGUGGGGGUUGGAAAGUUUCGGCGGUUGGGGAUGGACUCGCGGCUUAUCAGCUUGUUGGUGGGGUAGUGGCUUACCAAGGCUUUGACGGGUAGCCGGCCUGAGAGGGUGACCGGCCACAUUGGGACUGAGGUACGGCCCAGACUCCUACGGGAGGCAGCAGUGGGGAAUAUUGCACAAUGGGCGGAAGCCUGAUGCAGCAACGCCGCGUGCGGGAUGACGGCCUUCGGGUUGUAAACCGCUUUCGCCUGUGACGAAGCGUGAGUGACGGUAAUGGGUAAAGAAGCACCGGCUAACUACGUG